rnacentral:tRNA from 1 species
GCGCCGAUAGCUCAACUGGAUAGAGCAUCAGCCUACGAAGCUGGCGGUUGGGGGUUCGACUCCCUCUCGGCGCA